rnacentral:tRNA from 1 species
GCGCCUGUAGCUCAGUGGAUAGAGCGUUAGACUACGGAUCUAAAGGUCAUGGGUUCAAAUCCUUUCAGGCGUGCCA